rnacentral:rRNA from 1 species
AUUGAACGCUGGCGGCAGGCCUAACACAUGCAAGUCGAACGAGUGGCGGACGGGUGAGUAAGGGCUGGGAAACUGCCUGAUGGAGGGGGAUAACUACUGGAAACGGUAGCUAAUACCGCAUACCAUCAAAUGUGCCCAGAUGGGAUUAGCUUGUUGGUGGGGUAACGGCUCACCAAGGCGACGAACCCUAGCUGGUCUGCGAGGAUGACCAGCCACACUGGAACUGAGCCACGGUCCAGACUCCUACGGGAGGCAGCAGUGGGGUAUAUUGCACAAUGGGCGCACGCCUGAUACAGCCAUGCCGCGUGUAUGAAGAAGGCCUUCGGGUUGUAAAGUACUUUCAGCGGGGAGGCGUUACCCGCAGAAGAAGCACCGGCUAACUCCGUGCCAGCAGCCGCGGUAAUUC